UGAGGAAUAUUGGACAAUGGGCGAAAGCCUGAUCCAGCCAUGCCGCGUGAGUGAAGAAGGCCCUAGGGUUGUAAAGCUCUUUCAAUCGUGAAGAUAAUGACGGUAGCGAUAGAAGAAGCUCCGGCUAACUCCGUGCCAGCAGCCGCGGUAAUACGGGGGGAGCGAGCGUUGUUCGGAAUCACUGGGCGUAAAGCGUGCGCAGGCGGAUUGGAAAGUCAGAAGUGAAAUCCCGGGGCUCAACCCCGGAACGGCUUUUGAAACUUCCAUUCUAGAGUAUGGUAGAGGUUGGGAGAAUUCCUAGUGUAGAGGUGAAAUUCGUAGAUAUUAGGAGGAAUACCAGUGGCGUAGGCGCCCAACUGGACCAUUACUGACGCUCAGGCACGAAAGCGUGGGGAGCAAACA
rnacentral:rRNA from 1 species